rnacentral:rRNA from 1 species
UACGUAGGGUGCGAGCGUUAAUCGGAAUUACUGGGCGUAAAGGGCGCGUAGGCGGCCACCGCAAGUCGACUGUGAAAUCUCCGGGCUUAACCCGGAAAGGUCAGCCGAUACUGCGGGGCUAGAGUGCAGAAGGGGCAACUGGAAUUCUCGGUGUAGCGGUGAAAUGCGUAGAUAUCGAGAGGAACACCUGCGGCGAAGGCGGGUUGCUGGGCUGACACUGACGCUGAUGCGCGAAAGCUAGGGGAGCGAACGGG